ACGCUGGCGGCAGGCUUAACACAUGCAAGUCGAACGGUAGCAGGAGAAAGCUUGCUUUCUUGCUGACGAGUGGCGGACGGGUGAGUAAUGCUUGGGAGUCUGGCUUAUGGAGGGGGAUAACUACGGGAAACUGUAGCUAAUACCGCGUAGAAUCGGAAGAUGAAAGUGCGGGACCGUAAGGCCGCAUGCCAUGAGAUGAGCCCAAGUGGGAUUAGGUAGUUGGUGGGGUAAAGGCCUACCAAGCCUGCGAUCUCUAGCUGGUCUGAGAGGAUGGCCAGCCACACUGGAACUGAGACACGGUCCAGACUCCUACGGGAGGCAGCAGUGGGGAAUAUUGCGCAAUGGGGGGAACCCUGACGCAGCCAUGCCGCGUGAAUGAAGAAGGCCUUCGGGUUGUAAAGUUCUUUCGGUAUUGAGGAAGGUUGAUGUGUUAAUAGUACAUCAAAUUGACGUUAAAUACAGAAGAAGCACCGGCUAACUCCGUGCCAGCAGCCGCGGUAAUACGGAGGGUGCGAGCGUUAAUCGGAAUAACUGGGCGUAAAGGGCACGCAGGCGGUUAUUUAAGUGAGGUGUGAAAGCCCCGGGCUUAACCUGGGAAUUGCAUUUCAGACUGGGUAACUAGAGUACUUUAGGGAGGGGUAGAAUUCCACGUGUAGCGGUGAAAUGCGUAGAGAUGUGGAGGAAUACCGAAGGCGAAGGCAGCCCCUUGGGAAUGUACUGACGCUCAUGUGCGAAAGCGUGGGGAGCAAACAGGAUUAGAUACCCUGGUAGUCCACGCUGUAAACGCUGUCGAUUUGGGGAUUGGGCUUAAAGCUUGGUGCCCGUAGCUAACGUGAUAAAUCGACCGCCUGGGGAGUACGGCCGCAAGGUUAAAACUCAAAUGAAUUGACGGGGGCCCGCACAAGCGGUGGAGCAUGUG
rnacentral:rRNA from 1 species